AAAUUGAAGAGUUUGAUCAUGGCUCAGAUUGAACGCUGGCGGCAGGCCUAACACAUGCAAGUCGGACGGUAGCACAGAGGAGCUUGCUCCUUGGGUGACGAGUGGCGGACGGGUGAGUAAUGUCUGGGGAUCUGCCCGAUAGAGGGGGAUAACCACUGGAAACGGUGGCUAAUACCGCAUAACGUCGCAAGACCAAAGAGGGGGACCUUCGGGCCUCUCACUAUCGGAUGAACCCAGAUGGGAUUAGCUAGUAGGCGGGGUAAUGGCCCACCUAGGCGACGAUCCCUAGCUGGUCUGAGAGGAUGACCAGCCACACUGGAACUGAGACACGGUCCAGACUCCUACGGGAGGCAGCAGUGGGGAAUAUUGCACAAUGGGCGCAAGCCUGAUGCAGCCAUGCCGCGUGUAUGAAGAAGGCCUUCGGGUUGUAAAGUACUUUCAGCGGGGAGGAAGGCGA
rnacentral:rRNA from 1 species